CUUAAAAUGUUUAUUUUAACAUUAAUCUAUAUGUAAGUUCUUGCUGAAUAAAAAUUCCUUAAAGGGAGUUAUGAGUAGCAGUAGAUGGUAUUAUUGAUAUUAAGAAAAUUUAGAUUUGGUAAAUGUUAUUAGGAUUGGUCAAAGUUGUGCCAGCAUCCGCGGUUAUACAACAAAUUCAAAUAAAUAUUAUUGGUUUUGAAGUAAUUAUCAUAGAUAUUAUAAUUAUGAAAUGAGAUAUUUUAGGGUGAAAUAUUUUAAAAUGUUUUAAUAAUAAUUGUUUUUAAAAGUGAGAAAUUUUGUGAAAUUGAAAUUGUAAACUAGGAUUAGAUACCCUAUUAUUUUUAAUGUAAAAAAUUAAGCCAGAGUACUAUUAGUUAAGGUCUUGAAACUUAAAGAAUUUGGCGGUAUUAUAGUCUAUUUAGAGGAAUCUGUUAGGUAAUCGAUAGCCCACGUUGAACCUUACUUAUAUUAUUUCUUGUAUACCGCUGUUUAAUGAAUAUACUUUUAGGUUAUUUUCUGAAUAAAGAAGUAAUUAAAAUUUCAAGUCAAGGUGCAGUAAUAUAUAAGUCGUAAAUGGAUUACAAUAAAUUUUGUUUAUUACGGAUAAUUUUUGGAAUAGUUGUUUGAAGGUGGAUUUAAUUGUAAUUUUUUAAAGAUUGUUUAAAUGAUUGGUAGCUCUAUAAUAUGCACACAUCGCCCGUCACUCUCGUUUGUCUAGGUUUUCCUAAGAUGAGAUAAGUCGUAACAAAGUAGGUGUAUCGGAAGGUGUACCUAGAAUUA
rnacentral:ncRNA from 1 species